rnacentral:misc_RNA from 1 species
GGAAGUAAACGUCGUAACAAGGUUUCCGUAGGUGAACCUGCGGAAGGAUCACUAAAGAGAACUUGCCCUUCGGGGUAGAUCUCCCACCCUUUGUUUAUUAUACUUUGUUGCUUUGGCGGGCCUGCCUCACGGCUGCCGGCGUAAGCUGGCUCGCGCCCGCCAGAGACCCCUAAACUCUGAAUAUUGUCGUCUGAGUAAUAUAUAAUAAGUUAAAACUUUCAACAACGGAUCUCUUGGUUCUG